rnacentral:misc_RNA from 1 species
UCCCGGUUCGCCCGGGCAGUCGCGUAUGACAUGUAAAACAUACGCCAGGGGUUGCGCUCGUUGCGGACCCCAUAUCUCUAUGAGUUUUCGGUAUAUGUCAAGCCUUGGUAAGGUUCUUCGCGUUGCGUCGAAUUAAGCCACAUGCUCCGCCGCUUGUGCGGGCCCCCGUCAAUUCCUUUGAGUUUUAGCCUUGCGGCCGUACUCCCCAGGCGGGGCGCUUAAUGCGUUAGCUGCGGCACGGAGAACGUGGAAGGUUCCCCACACCUAGCGCCCAACGUUUACGGCGUGGACUAC